UUGUUGAGCCGUCACACGGA
rnacentral:snRNA from 1 species